GGGGGCCUUCUUAGUGUUCUUCAACAAGUUGGCAAUCGUUUCCACCCUCACAAAGCAAAGAUGACGUGAGUUUUCCUAUAGACUCAACGAAGAAGCUCACCGCAUAUUCACAAAUCGCGACAGUCUUGAGAACAACGAGAUCGUAGUGAUCAAUGAAAGGCAAAAUCACCAUAUCGCCAAAA